rnacentral:rRNA from 1 species
GACGUAGGAGGCGAGCGUUGUCCGGAUUUACUGGGCGUAAAGGGCGCGUAGGCGGUCAGCACAAGUCAGUUGUGAAAUCUCCGGGCUUAACUCGGAAAGGUCAACUGAUACUGUGCGACUAGAGUGCAGAAGGGGCAACUGGAAUUCUCGGUGUAGCGGUGAAAUGCGUAGAUAUCGAGAGGAACACCUGCGGCGAAGGCGGGUUGCUGGGCUGACACUGACGCUGAUGCGCGAAAGCCAGGGGAGCGAACGGG